rnacentral:tRNA from 1 species
GCGGGCGUGGUGGAAUUGGUAGACACGCCAGACUUAGGAUCUGGUGGCGUAAGUCGUGGGGGUUCAAGUCCCUCCGCCCGUACCA